rfam:TPA: Bos taurus chromosome 25, whole genome shotgun sequence.
UCCCUGGUGGUCCAGUGGCUAAGAUUCCACACUCCUAAUGAAGGGGGCCUGGGUUCGAUCCCUGGUCAGGGAA